GUGAGUAACGCGUGAGAACCUACCUUCAGAAUGGGGACAACAGUUGGAAACGACUGCUAAUACCCAAUGUGCCGAAAGGUGAAAGAUUUAUCGUCUGAAGAUGGGCUCGCGUCUGAUUAGCUAGAUGGUGGGGUAAGAGCCUACCAUGGCAACGAUCAGUAGCUGGUCUGAGAGGAUGAGCAGCCACACUGGGACUGAGACACGGCCCAGACUCCUACGGGAGGCAGCAGUGGGGAAUUUUCCGCAAUGGGCGAAAGCCUGACGGAGCAAUACCGCGUGAGGGAGGAAGGUCCUCGGAUUGUAAACCUCUUUUAUCAGGGAAGAAGUUCUGACGGUACCUGAUGAAUAAGCAUCGGCUAACUCCGUGCCAGCAGCCGCGGUAAUACGGAGGAUGCAAGCGUUAUCCGGAAUUAUUGGGCGUAAAGCGUUCGUAAGUGGUUAUGCAAGUCUGCCGUUAAAGAAUGGAGCUUAACUCCAUAGGAGCGGUGGAAACUGCAAGACUAGAGUACAGUAGGGGUAGCAGGAAUUCCCAGUGUAGCGGUGAAAUGCGUAGAUAUUGGGAAGAACAUCGGUGGCGAAAGCGUGCUACUGGGCUGAAACUGACACUGAGGGA
rnacentral:rRNA from 1 species